AUUCUGCCAGUAGUCAUAUGCUUGUCUCAAAGAUUAAGCCAUGCAUGUCUAAGUAUAAGCAAUUUAUACAGCGAAACUGCGAAUGGCUCAUUAAAUCAGUUAUCGUUUAUUUGAUAGUACCCCACUACUUGGAUAACCGUGGUAAUUCUAGAGCUAAUACAUGCGCAAAAGCCCGACUUACGAAGGGCUGUAUUUAUUAGAUAAAAAACCAAUGCCCUUUUGGGCUUCUUGGUGAUUCAUGAUAACUUAACGAAUCGCAUGGCCUAGUGACAAUAAAUACUGAUACAGGGCUCUUUUGGGUCUUGUAAUUGGAAUGAGUACAAUUUAAAUCCCUUAACGAGGAACAAUUGGAGGGCAAGUCUGUUGCCAGCAGCCGCGGUAAUUCCAGCUCCAAUAGCGUAUAUUAAAGUUGUUGCAGUUAAAAAGCUCGUAGUUGAAUUUCAAGUCCCUAUUGUUUCUGGCCACUGUGUCUUUAUGGCCAGUGUUGCUUUUGGAAACGGGGACUUUAUUUUUCUGCUAGGCGCCUAUUUCUUCCAGUUUUGCUGGCGGAAUUAGUUUGUUGCCUAGCACUUUUACUUUGAAAAAAUUAGAGUGUUCAAAGCAGGCUUUUAUAAGCUUGAAUAUCUUAGCAUGGAAUAAUAGAAUAGGACUUUGGUUCUAUUUUGUUGGUUUCUAGGACUAGAGUAAUGAUUAAUAGGGAUAGUUGGGGGCAUUAGUAUUUAAUUGUCAGAGGUGAAAUUCUUGGAUUUAGGAAAGACUAACUUCUGCGAAAGCAUUUGCCAAGGAUGUUUUCAUUAAUCAAGAACGAAAGUUAAGGGAUCGAAGAUGAUUAGAUACCAUCGUAGUCUUAACCAUAAACGAUGCCGACCAGGGAUCAGAUGAUUUGUAGUACCUUUUUAAGUAAGACACAUCUGGCACCUUUUGAGAAAUUAAAGUUUUUGGGUUCUGGGGGGAGUAUGGUCGCAAGGCUGAAACUUAAAGGAAUUGACGGAAGGGCACCACCAGGAGUGGAGCCUGCGGCU
rnacentral:rRNA from 1 species